CCUACGGGUGGCAGCAGUGGGGAAUAUUGGGCAAUGGACGCAAGUCUGACCCAGCAACGCCGCGUGAAGGAAGAAGGCUUUCGGGUUGUAAACUUCUUUUAAGGGGGAAGAGCAGAAGACGGUACCCCUUGAAUAAGCCACGGCUAACUACGUGCCAGCAGCCGCGGUAAUACGUAGGUGGCAAGCGUUAUCCGGAUUUAUUGGGUUUAAAGGGUGCGUAGGCGGAAUGCCAAGUCAGCGGUAAAAUCGCGGGGCUCAACCUCGCUCCGCCGUUGAAACUGGCGUUCUUGAGUGAGCGAGAAGUAUGCGGAAUGCGUGGUGUAGCGGUGAAAUGCAUAGAUAUCACGCAGAACUCCGAUUGCGAAGGCAGCAUACCGGCGCCCAACUGACGCUGAAGCACGAAAGCGUGGGUAUCGAACAGGAUUAGAUACCCCAGUAGUC
rnacentral:rRNA from 1 species